AGUGCUCUUGUGGACUUGUUACGUGGAAUCCACGAUGAAAUAUAAAUAUUUUUCAAACUCUCAAUGGAUCGUCGCCCUCGUGAUGUGGCCGAUCAAGCAAAACAUUAUCUCAAACAUAGAAAAAUAUUCGGCGACUUGGAUUACUUUUUAUGACCUUCUCGACGAGGAAAACGUAAAAAACGAAUCGAACACGAAGAUAACUCACUCGGUCAACGACAAACUGUUGUUGUUCUUGUCGAGCAACCGAUCGGCGACCACGCCGCUGAGGCUGACGAGCUUCGUCUCCUUGAUUAAGCAGUAUUUAAACGAGAGAGGUUCGUCGGUCUGUUCUAUUCAAACGUACAUACCUUUUAGAAAUUUAAAUUGAUCUUUAGAUUGACAUUUUCAGGAGCGAGCAUUCGGAAACCGGAGCAUUUGACCCUGGAAAUUCUGUCGAAGCAGAUGAACGACGAACUCAUCAGUCCCACGAUCUAUUGGCUACUGCUCGACUGCUUGAUGUCGCUCAUCGACGCGUUCGUGCUUCACAAAGACGUCGUCGAAAUCAAAAAGUUGCUGCUCGUCGCGAACACUACUUUGAAGGUGACGCCGAAGAUUCUUGCGACCCUCAAGGCUGAAGUGAGUUUUUUUUUAUAGAACAGCUUCCGAGUGCGUUGCUAGCCUUUUAAGAAUUGGUACGACUGCAUUUUGUGUCCUGCGCUCGUUCUCAAUUCGUAAAACACUUUCAAUCGUUUCAUUAUUUCGUUGUCAUUUCACGAUACCGAUUCGCUUCGUCGUGUGGAAUGUCUCUUGAAAAGUAUUCAUAAUCUAAUAAACAUAAACGAAUACUCGAAAUUGAACGUCAUCAUCGAGGAAGGAAUGAAACGGGUCGCGACCCAUUUGGCAGGUCGGACGUCGGUGCUGUCGAGUCCCGUGAAACUUAUAUUUUCUUCCUUGAUUUCACACGAAGACAGAGUGAUCAAGAGUGUUGGCGACUCAUAAAUAGAAGGGUCAAUCAACUUUUAAGUGUACAUCAAUGAUAAAUUUUAUUUUUUUAAUUUUAUUUGAUUUUUUUUUAUAUUUUAACAUUUUUUCUUUAGAUAAUUAUUUAUAUUUUAAGAAUUCACAUAGAGCAGAACGAUUUAUUUAAAUAAAAUAGUAAAUUUGACUCCGAAAUCCACAUUUUUCCGUCAAACCCAUUAUCUAAAAAUAAUAACAAAAAUAAUUUAGAAUAUAGAACUAUUAGAUAUAGCAAAAAUGUAUUAAGUAAGUAAGCUAACUGCCUCCGUGGUGCUUUGAUGAUUGAUUAGUUUGAUUGGUGGUGAUGAUUUGAGCGUUCGCCUUAGGGUCCGGAGUUCCCUGGUUCGAUUCUCGGGAAAAGAACCCGUAAAGUUAAUAUUUGUCAAUUUAUCACUUUCAUUCACAAGAUUGUGCCCAGUUUGGUUAGGACAUAGCAAGCUAAACCACCUGAUUGUUCAUCACAAAGAUGGUUCCGUGCUUCGGAGGCCAUGUUAAGCGGUUGGUCCCGGUUGCUAUGACCGGUUGCUAUAAUUAAUUAAAUGGCAGUCGUUACACAAUCAUGUCAGAGGCCUACUGCUAGUAGUAGGACUAAUUAUUGAAAGGAAAAGUAUUGCUCUAUGCUGAUUCUAUAAUUAAUUGUCCUAUGGGCAACACGGACAACGGUUUUGGUUGUCCAAGUGACUGGUUGUCCGAGUGACAUUUAUCAGUCUUUGCGCUUUCUGAUAAUAAAUAAUGAUAUUUUGAAUUAGGUCUUACGCACAGUGAAAAAUAUAGAUAAAAUAGAAUAUAUUUCACUUUUAUUUACUAUGAUAUAUCAAAUACUGACGUUUUUGUGCUGGUUGUCCGGUAGACACACAAAAAAGCCACGCACUUUUUCAAAACGCGCGCGACCGACUGACACCGCGGCAA